rnacentral:siRNA from 1 species
AGGAUCUCCAAGUUGUGCGUGUUC